CUAAACAUGUCCUUAGUUAAUCGAAAAUGAGAAAAACCUAUUGAAAGACUCAUAUGUCGUCUAUCUAGUCCAAUUGGGGAGAUGUUUUGUUUUAGACAUCGAAGCGGAUCACUCUCAGAAGAUAGAGAUAUAGAUGUGACUAACUAGACUAAUGGGCAGAACCCCAGAAGAAUAGAUCCUAAAUUCGUUUAUGGAUUUAUUCACUUGUGAUGUUCAUAGUGUGACAUACCUAAAUCCUAAGUGGAUGACAAACUAUGUCUGUGUGAC
rnacentral:lncRNA from 1 species